rnacentral:rRNA from 1 species
GGCCGCGGGAAUUCGAUUCAGGCCUAACACAUGCAAGUCGAGCGGAUGAAGGGAGCUUGCUCCUGGAUUAAGCGGCGGACGGGUGAGUAAUGCUUAGGAAUCUGCCUAUUAGUGGGGGACAACAGUUGGAAACGACUGCUAAUACCGCAUACGCCCUACGGGGGAAAGGAGGGGAUCUUCGGACCUUUCGCUAAUAGAUGAGCCUAAGUCAGAUUAGCUAGUUGGUGGGGUAAAGGCCUACCAAGGCGACGAUCUGUAGCGGGUCUGAGAGGAUGAUCCGCCACACUGGGACUGAGACACGGCCCAGACUCCUACGGGAGGCAGCAGUGGGGAAUAUUGGACAAUGGGGGCAACCCUGAUCCAGAAAGGCCGCGUGUGUGAAGAAGGCCUUUUGGUUGUAAAUCAAAUGAAGCGAGGAGGAGGAGCUCUAGAUUAAUACUCUAGAUGCUGGACGU